rnacentral:rRNA from 1 species
ACGGCCCACCAAGGCGACGAUCAGUAGGGGUUCUGAGAGGAAGGUCCCCCACAUUGGAACUGAGACACGGUCCAAACUCCUACGGGAGGCAGCAGUGAGGAAUAUUGGUGAUGGAUGGGGAUGCGUCUGAUUAGCUUGUUGGCGGGGUAACGGCCCACCAAGGCGACGAUCAGUAGGGGUUCUGAGAGGAAGGUCCCCCACAUUGGAACUGAGACACGGUCCAAACUCCUACGGGAGGCAGCAGUGAGGAAUAUUGGUCAAUGGACGAGAGUCUGAACCAGCCAAGUAGCGUGCAGGAUGACGGCCCUAUGGGUUGUAAACUGCUUUUAUAAGGGAAUAAAGUGAGAGUCGUGACUCUUUUUGCAUGUACCUUAUGAAUAAGGACCGGCUAAUUCCGUGCCAGCAGCCGCGGUAAUACGGAAGGUCCGGGCGUUAUCCGGAUUUAUUGGGUUUAAAGGGAGCGUAGGCCGGAGAUUAAGCGUGUUGUGAAAUGUAGACGCUCAACGUCUGCACUGCAGCGCGAACUGGUUUCCUUGAGUACGCACAAAGUGGGCGGAAUUCGUGGUGUAGCGGUGAAAUGCUUAGAUAUCACGAAGAACUCCGAUUGCGAAGGCAGCUCACUGGAGCGCAACUGACGCUGAAGCUCGAAAGUGCGGGUAUCGAACAGGAUUAGAUACCCUGGUAGUCCGCACGGUAAACGAUGGAUGCCCGCUGUUGGUCUGAAUAGGUCAGCGGCCAAGCGAAAGCAUUAAGCAUCCCACCUGGGGAGUACGCCGGCAACGGUGAAACUCAAAGGAAUUGACGGGGGCCCGCACAAGCGGAGGAACAUGUGGUUUAAUUCGAUGAUACGCGAGGAACCUUACCCGGGCUUGAAUUGCAGAGGAAGGAUUUGGAGACAAUGACGCCCUUCGGGGCCUCUGUGAAGGUGCUGCAUGGUUGUCGUCAGCUCGUGCCGUGAGGUGUCGGCUUAAGUGCCAUAACGAGCGCAACCCCUCUCCUUAGUUGCCAUCAGGUUAAGCUGGCACUCUGGGGACACUGCCACCGUAAGGUGUGAGGAAGGUGGGGAUGACGUCAAAUCAUCACGGCCCUUACGUCCGGGGCUACACACGUGUUACCGUAAGGUGUGAGGAAGGUGGGGAUGACGUCAAAUCAGCACGGCCCUUACGUCCGGGGCUACACACGUGUUACAAUGGCAGGUACAGAGAGAUGGUCCCUUGCAAAAUGGAUCAAAUCCUUAAAGCCUGUCUCAGUUCGGACUGGGGUCUGCAACCCGACCCCACGAAGCUGGAUUCGCUAGUAAUCGCGCAUCAGCCAUGGCGCGGUGAAUACGUUCCCGGGCCUUGUACACACCGCCCGUCAAGCCAUGAAAGCCGGGGGCGCCUAAAGUCCGUGACCGUAAGGAGCGGCCUAGGGCGAAACUGGUAAUUGGGGCUAAGUCGUAACAAGGUAGCCGUACCGGAAGGUGCGGCUGGAACACCUCCUUUCU